rnacentral:rRNA from 1 species
AUUGAACGCUGGCGGCAGGCCUAACACAUGCAAGUCGAGCGGAUGAAGGGAGCUUGCUCCUGGAUUCAGCGGCGGACGGGUGAGUAAUGCCUAGGAAUCUGCCUGGUAGUGGGGGAUAACGUCCGGAAACGGGCGCUAAUACCGCAUACGUCCUGAGGGAGAAAGUGGGGGAUCUUCGGACCUCACGCUAUCAGAUGAGCCUAGGUCGGAUUAGCUAGUUGGUGGGGUAAAGGCCUACCAAGGCGACGAUCCGUAACUGGUCUGAGAGGAUGAUCAGUCAGCGUGGAAGUGGUACACGCACUGGGCUCCUACGGGAGCCAGCAGUGGGGAGUGUGGGAAGAAGGGCGAAAGCUUGAUACAGCCUUGCCGCGGGGGUGAAGAAAGGUUUGGGUUUGUAUAGCGCUUUAAGGUUGGAGAAAGGAAAGUAAGGUAAGUACUUGCUGGUUUGACGUCACCAACAGAAUAAGCACCGGCUAACUGCGU